UAUUAGUUUCUAUAAUAUGUCUGCAAAAUUUCAUGGACUUUGGUUGCUUAAUAAUAUUAAAGCCACUCUGCUUAUAAACGUGGAAUGUAAUUUGUAUAAGCUAAGCGUUAUGGAUGGCUGCUAUGAUCUAUUAUACUGUUAUGUAUUUUAUUUACACCAAUUUGAGAGUCAAAUUGAAAGAAAAUCCGCAAAUAAUAAUAAAACGAUGUUUCUGCAGUAUAAUUAUUAAUUACUGUUACGCUAGUAAUUUUAUCAAUACCUUUGCAAGAAUCAGCGAAUUUUUUCAUAACUGACAUUGAAGUUAUUUGCUUUCGGCCAUUUAUAUUCAAUCCUAUCUGUAAUCCAUCGAUAGCUUAUUCAUAAAAAAUUGUACUCUCUUAUCGACAGAAAGGGAUAUAUUAAUUUUGGUCAUUUGUCAUCAUUAAAAUAAUUAUUGAAUUAAAAUAAUUAUUGAAUUGAAUGAAAACAAAAUACGGAUGAGAUCGUCUUCUCCAUGGUUUAUUUUUAUUAUCUUCAGGGCUCUUAUACUGUCUAUGCCCUGCCUAUUAUGUUCUUGAUUGUUGAAUCGUUUUAAAUUUUGACCAAUAUGCAUAUUGUAUGACCAAGAUACUGCAUAUUUGACAGAAAAUAAAUUAACUGAAUUUUCUUUCUAUUUGGCUUGUAGAAUAUAACAUAAGCUUUUAUUAAAAUAAAAAGGCGGAGGCAUUACAUAUUUUCAAUAGAUUUUUAUCUACUUUAUAAUUUUUAACAAAUUUAUUGCGAACACCAUGUUUUUUGGACCACUGCCACUGAAAGAGAAUUUUUGUAAAUAAAUUGGUACAUAUACAGACACCGUGGUAAAUGAAAUAUGGGUGUCACGAUUAUAAUUAGCUACACUGAUCUGUUUUUGUAACAUGUAGUAAAUAAAUAAAGUAUAUAAAAGGCUGUGUAAAUUAUUAAAGCCGUGUAUUCCGCACCUUAUGUAUAAACCCUGGGCCACGGCUAUUACGUCAUAAUGGUGAUCGUAGAUUUACGGCGCCUUCGAAUUUGCCAAAUCCAUAUAAAUAAAAACGCGCGACUGCAGCGUUACACCCGCGCUGCGGCCGCGCAUGUGUUCAUCGAUCGAAAUUAUAUGGAUCAAAAAGCAUUCCUUACCACGAAAAUUGUGAUUAUCACAUUGCUAUUUAGACUGGCUCCAAAAUUUUAACCGACUUCAAAGAAAGGAGUGGUUGAUGGCGACUUUAUUUUGCUGCAACUUGUACAUUUUAGCCAAUGACAGAUGUUACCAAUCACAGGUGAUCGCGAUUAUCACAGUACUGUCAAACUACGGCGGUAGGCCUACGUACGUACCGUGAAUUCCGCCAAGCACAGCAAUUACUGAGGUAGCAAUGUGAUAACACUAGGGUCUAGGACGUCAAACGUUGGUUUUCUGUAAUGAAAAAUGGGUUGUCGCGUGCGACUAGUAUGCGUAAGCUACAAUGAAUGUAUGGAAACAUGGGAUUUGAUAUAGCAAGCGCCCUGGGUGCGCGAACGAGACGUUUUGAAAACAAAAUGUAUGGCACCCUAUGGAACGGGCGCCACUGCUUGCGCUUCACGUAACAUAGAGCGCCAUACAUAUUAUUGAAUUUACGACGUCCCAUCCGCGCGCACCGGGCGCUUGCUAUCUGUGAAACAAAGCACGAAUCACGGGGCGCAGCGGCAAUAAUAGUGACACUUGUUUUCGCUGCGCGCCGCUUGUCGAAUCGCUUAGUCGUGGCCCUGGGUGCAAAAGAUUAUAAUUUCAUACACACAUACGUUGUUCUUGUAUCUUUACUGAGCUUUUGAUGGUGUUGUCAAUGGAAUUAUAGUCUUCUAAUCAAUCUUGUAUGAAAUAAAUCAGAGACAUUGUGUUUUAUGGAAAGGUUCAGUGUUAUUGACUGGAAGUUUCAUAAUAAAAUUAUAUUAUGCUUUAUUUU